rnacentral:rRNA from 1 species
GACUCAACACGGGAAAUCUCACCAGGCCCGNACACCGGAAGGAUUGACAGAUUAAUAGCUCUUUCUUGAUUCGGUGGGUGGUGGUGCAUGGCCGUUCUUAGUUGGUGGAGCGAUUUGUCUGGUUAAUUCCGGUAACGAACGAGACUCUAGCCUGCUAAAUAGGCGGCGUCAUUUAGGUGCKCCGGCUUCGGUCGRGCAACUCACUGGCGCCGUUGUAAAAUUCUUCUUAGAGGGACCGGCUUCGAGUGNCGAGAUUGAGCAAUAACAGGUCUGUGAUGCCCUUAGAUGUCCUGGGCGCACGCGRGCUACACUGAAGGAAUCAGCAUGUUCUCCCUGGCCUAGAGSCCCGGGCAACCCGCUGAAACUCCUUCGUGCUGGGGAUUGGGGUUUGCAAUUGUCCCCCAUAAACGAGGAAUUCCUAGUAARCGCGAGUCAUAAGCUCGCGUUGAUUACGUCCCUGCCCUUUGUACACACCGCCCGUCGCUACUACCGAUUGAAUGAUUUAGUGAGGUCUUCGGACCG